GAAGAUGAGGCCAUCUGGAUUAGCCAUUUGCUUCCCCGUUGUCUCCAGGGUUGAUUCGGCUCAUGUGGUGUACUAGGCAGGUGUCUUCCUUCUACCUCAUUACUUCAAGUGUGUCUCUUCUAAAGUUAUUCACUCAAUAGAAUAAAUGGUGCCAAACUGUUCCCAGAGCAUCAUACCAAUACCAAUAGACCCCUCCACCAGGAACACAUAUACCUGUCUCUCUAGAGCUCCUAAAAACUACUGGGACAGGCAUUUUAAAGUUUGAUUUUAAGAAUUUCAUCUGAAUGUGUAUUAGAAAAAAAAACUUCAUUUGCACAUUGAUCCCAUUUUUAAGGAAUUUCACUUUGAAAUGCUGUCUU
rnacentral:snRNA from 1 species